GUAUGUUGUACAAUGUAAUAAAAUAUUUAUUUAUUUCUUAUGCAUACUCAAGAAUUCAGCACUUAUUUUGAUUAUUUAAAUAGUUGCAGUGGACUGUGCCUGAGACGUUUCCCCACAUCGCCGGCUAUGUAGACAGCUUGUGAAAAUGAUAUUGUGCCAGAAAAGUUUGAAGUAGCUAUGGGAAUGAUCAACAUUCAACUUGCUGAGCCUUCCUUCUGAAAGUGACUUGACCAGAUAUUUGGCUACCCAGUAUGAGUAUCUUUCUGCUACAUUAAAUAAAAUAUUGUGGAGGAACACAAAGAAAAGGGCUGUGCAUCUCAACAUUUUCAAGGUCAAGCAGCUUUUUACCAUAUCCAUAGUAUCUUGCUGCUAAAUGAAAGAAUUAUUGUGGAAGAGCAGAGAAAAGAACACUUCAACAUGUUCAAGGUCAAGCAGAAAUUAGGAGCUAGAUGUGCUUUUCCAGAGCUGAAAACUUCUUGGCAUGAAGAG